GAUGAUGCGUAUAUUCCCCCUGCAUCCUUCUCAUGCUUUCAGCGUCAUGAGGUAUAAAAGUGUGCUCCCUGUCCCAAGGGUAGCAGCUGUGACCUACAUUUUCUUCACGUUCUGAUGCUGUUUGUGGCUUCCUCUUCCCUUCAGGGGGCCCACGAUGUCUUUGUUCAAAGCACUCUUUCCAAUAGCUGAUGACAUAGUGUCAGGCAAGUCUACAGCUGUUUCAAUCAUCUGUCCACACAGACACCAAACAACAGAAAUAAGGUAAGCAUGUAUCUACGAUAGGUCUAGUCUGCUCUGGGGAAAAACAGAAAGUCCUUUCAUGAUAUACGGGCAGCAUUCUGCGUGAUUUAUUUGACAUCAACUCUAAGACCAAUGGCUUGUGGGUUUCUUUUCACUCAGGUCACAUGAUUCUUCUUUAGGAUCUCAAUCAACUAUUUCCACUUUGCUUAACUUAAAAAAAUCAAAAGCCUCCAGCAGUCAACAGUACAAUUGUUCAAUUUUGUACACCUCCCCCGCUUUCUAAUCAUGCCUUUAUAAAUUACUGCUUUAGUGCUCAUCAGAAGAGCAUAAGUUUAAAAUUUUGAAUGUGCAUGUUAAGUUUGGCUGUUACUUUUAGUGUUGUUUUCUACAUGAAUGAGCCAGCUUUGACACUACAGACACAGCCUGUUUAGGCAAGAGCAGUGCUUAUGUAAUCCUAGCUUCCCAAACCACAUCAACAGCACAAAUUUGACAGCCAGAAGGAAGGAAGCGGGGGUGGGGAAGGCAAAAGGAAAGAAAGAGAGACUCAGCUUCAACCAAAAACAUAUUUGGCUCAUAUUUCCACCUCUGUUAACUGAGAUUCCAACUCUACAGGAGCUCCUCUCCACUCAUCCCUCCAUGCCUGAUCUGGGGAGCAGCUUGGUUUUUCUCCUGCUAAAGGAAAAACCCUUAGUACCUUCCUUCUCUGCAAACAUUAGAAACAACUCAAUCAAGUUGAUGUAUAGAGGAUGAAAAGUCCUUAGCCAACAAGGAUACUUCAGCCUUUCCAGGUAUGACAUAGCCUCUUCCCUUCCUAUCUGCUAGCCAGCCAACAGGUCUUUCACCACUAGUGCUCUGCCAGCAUGUGUGGCUGCCAAAGGCACCUCACUGGCCAAGAGGAAGGAAGCUUUCCUUCCAAAGCAAACAUCCAGUCUUCAAUGAAUAAGCCCUGCAUGCUGAAACAGCCCCCUCUCUCACAAUCACCUUACUCUUUAGAAAGCUGUGGUAGGCAAGUAAAGACACCCUCCAAAAUAUUCAUAUUCAUAUUCCACUCCCUGGAACCUGUGAAUAUGUUGAGUUACAUAGAAAAUGAGAACCAAGAUGGAAUUGAGUUUCUAAUAAGCUGACCUUAAAAUAGAGAGAUCAUCCUCCAUUAUCUGAGUGGGCCCAAUAUAAUCACAAGGGUUCUUAAAAGUGGAAGGGGGAGACAGAAGAGAUGAUCAAAGGGACACUAUGUGAACAGAACUCAACCAGCCAUUGCUGGCUCUGAAGAUGGAGAAAGGGGGCUAUGAGUAAAGGAAUGUGGGCAGCCUCUAAAAGUUGGAAAAAGCAAGGAAGAGGAUUCUCCUCUAGAGCUUCCAGAAAGAUAUGCAACCCUGCUGACACUUUGAGUUUAGCCCAGUGAGACCUGCAUCAGACUUCUUACCUACAGAACUGUAAGACUAUAAAUCUGUGUUGCUUUAGCUAUUAAGUUUGUGGUAACUGUUACAGCAGCAAUUAAAAACUAAUACAAAAACCAUUGGUUCAAGGCAAGUCCAUACUGCUUGGGUAGCCACCCUCUAUUUAUCAAAGACUUUCGGUUGAGGCCCAGGUGCACAGUUCAUUCUAUCUAGGUAUGUGGUUCUAAGUCUCCUCUUUGAACCCUCCUGAAGAUUGACACCAGACCACAUCUGCACUGCGAUUGCUUUCAUUUUUCUCUCAUGUUGGUCUUCUCUAGAAAUUUAAAGAAUUCCAGAUCAAAAAGAGCUGUGUGCAGUGUUGCACACCUGCAGCUCCAGCUACUUGGGAUGCUGAGGUGGCAGGAUUGCUUGGGCCUAAGAAUUUGAGUCCAGCCUAGGCAACAUAGCAAGAUCUGAUCUCUUAAAAAAUCAUUAUUAAAAAAAAAAAUGAAAAAAAGCUCUAGGUGGCAUGAAAUUCAUGGCUUUGCCUCCAUAGGAACUUGCCUUAAUGGCAAAACCACUUUGUUUUGCAAAAGCAUAAAUGAGUUUUCCAGAAAACCAGCCCUCUACUAGUGGUAUAGUACAGGACGAAGGUCUAGACCCCAGGGCCUUCUGCUCUGAGCAGAUCAGACUGCUUGGGUCCAGACAAUCCUGGGUAUCCCUCACAAGCUGCAGGAGGGGACAAGUUACUUAACAUCUUACUUCUCUAUUUCCCCAUUUGUAAAAUGGGCAAAGUAAUAAUAUCUACCUCAUAGAGUAGUUGUAAGGUAAAAUAAGUUAGUACAUAUAAGGAGCUUAGAGCAGUACCUGGCACAGAGCAAGUCCCAUUGAUCACUGCCAUACUUUGCCGUGUCUUCGGUUCUCACAUCAUCAUGGUUUCGUAUAUCCUGAUAGCAUCUGUUCUUGCCAAAGGUCUGACUUUCCAACACAUGCUUUCCAAAAGGAAACAAAAUGAUGUACUUGUUCCCAGUGGCCAUCCAAAUGUAAAAUCCAUGCUUGGAAAACUUUGCGAUGCUUCUUUUAUACUACUAAGUGCCCCUUAAUUAAAACUAAAAUAAGUUUCUCCAAUGGUUUUAAAGCAUAGGUCACUUAAAAUUAACUCCCGUAAGCUAUUUUACAAACUUCCUGUUAAGAAGUAAUUUCUCAAAAUAGAAAAGGCAUAAUAUUAGCUUCAAAAGUACCUGGAGUAUUCAUUAAAAUGUAAAUUAUUGGGCAUUACUUAAGAUUUAGUGGAGGCCCACGAAUCUGAAUAUUAAUAAAUAUAUUACAUAUAGCAUGUGAUUCUUAUGCAUACAAAGGUUAGGAAUCAUUGCCUUAACAUAUCUUUAGUUUAAAGCCUACCCUUCUUUUAUUAUGCUAGAUAAUUUCGCAGGUAAAACAACUACAAAAAAAAAGGCCAGGUUUAGCUGAUUUGUACAUCACUCUCUUGUAUGGUGUUUAAAGAAAAUCGGCCAUUUACUUUCUCAAGAAAGAGAAAUAAGAAGGCAUGGCAUACUAAAAAAAAAUGAUUCAUUAACAGAGAAAUGCAUUUAUUAUCUCCUCAUAGCACAGACACAACUGUGUGUGUGUAUACACAUAUUAUAUACACAUAUGAAUAUAGAAUAAAUGAGUUUUAUAAAGCAGUCUUUGUAACACAUUUAUUUGUGGUUUUCACAAUGGAACUUCCAUUAUCAAAAUCUAGAUUCUAAUAUUGGAGUGUUUGAAAAGUACCCACAUGUGAUAAUAAUAUUGAAAAUGCUACUUGUAACUAAAUGCAGUUCUUAUUAACUUUCCUUUCACUUGUGAUAUCAUUGACACACAAUUAUCAGCUCAUAAAACAAAAAGAGCAUUGCCUCAGCAUGUAUAUUGUGAAAUAAAGGGAUUACGUGUCCAAAGUGUGCUAGGAAUAGAAGAACUGACAUCAUCCACAUCAUGGUGAUGAGUUUUCCCUACAGAUCUCCAAAAAAGGAAAAGCAAAACUAUGUUUCGGGAGGCAACGCCAAAUCUUUUUUAGUAAUUUUUUCAUUUUAUUGGUUGUUUUAUUUUCACAGUGAUAAAUUAGUGCUCAACUCCAAAUAUUUAAUGAAAAUACUUUAUGGCACAUAUGUGUGCAUGCAUCUAUUUUCCCCCAAAGUGUGAAUUAUAGUAUAUCUACAUCAGAAUCUUCUUUUCUAUUUCUUUUAAGCAAGUAUCUCCAACCUUACCCCAAGACUCUGAUGUUAGGGCCUAGAAACCUGCAUUUUUAGCAAGUUUUUCAGGUGAUCCUUGAUCACAUUUAAUUUUGAGAAUCACUUCUUUGAGAAUAUGUAAUGAAAUUUAAACUAAAUGGUGUAUUUUUUUCUUAUUUUUGAAAUAUUUUUAAAUUACCUUAAUGGUUUACCUAAACUCAAUAAAAAUUUCUCUUUAUUUAAUCUAAUAAAUGGAAAUCUAGAAAAUUCAUUCACAAAAAACCAAGACUAAACUGUAAUAAGAAUAAAUUAAUAUUUGCCAAAUAAGUAAUCUAAUUAAUUAACACAGGAGGAAAUAAAUUCAGAUAAUGAGCUAUGAAUUCUUUGACUUGAUAAGUAUCAGAAAAAAAUAAAUCAUUAAGGCUACAUCAUCUCUAUUAAACUUGUACUCAUAGGCUUAAGCAACACAGAAUUAUCUUAAAACCCAUAUAUCCUAUUGUCUAGAUUGGUGGGGGGGGAAGCAUAUUAUUUAUUCACCAAAAACAGAAAUAGAAUAUAAAGUAAAUCAAUAAAAUUUUCAAUUACUUGUUGUUGCUGUUGUGUUAUCUUUGUUUUGACUUUACAGAUUUUUUCUGACACAAGUAGUAUCACUCAAGAAUUAGUUUUCAUCUGCAUGAGUUCUUCUUCAUGGAGGGCAUGGUCUGUGUAUGCUCACAGGUUUGGUUUUGGCCCAUAACUCAAGAGUCUAGUUUACUGGCAAUGCAGGUAGGAAUCAUCUGACUUGCUACUCCUCCCACAACAUGUGUUUGUCCAAGUCUGUUUGAGAAAUGACGCUUCCUUCCCCUCAAUGCCAACAGCAGUGCUGCAAGCCUCUCAGCCUCUAUCCAACACCAAACAGCAAGUUUAUUGUAAUGCUUCUUGAAAGCUGGAACCAGGGAAGUGGAACCAAGCAGAAACUGCUUGGUAGUUUGGAAGGACUGAUGCACAAAACAAUUGCAACCAGCCAGGUCCCCUGGUGUAGACAAUUACAUGACUAGCACUUCCCAUGCCCAGAGUGAUGUAUCUGCUUCCUGGAGGCAUCGGCUAUGACUCUCUUCCUACUUCCACCCAGUGGCUCCAGUUGUGGCUGCCAAGAAAACUCCAACCGAUGGAGGAUGAGAGGUAAAACCAGGACACACGAAGAGCUGUUACCAUCAUCUUUCACCUGGAUUCUCCUAAAGCUACAGCUUCUCAUCUCGUCACUCCAAGCUACUAAUUCUUCUUUCUGAGCCAAAGGCCCAAAAGGCAAAUGGGAAAUGACUUGUCAGAUGAAAUCACCAAUAACUGAACAUAAAGCAGACUUAAAUGAGGACAAAACCUUUUGUAUUUAUUCAGUUUAUAUCAGCAAUAUGAUUAUCUCAAAGUUCUCCUAACAAAGCAGCCUGGCACAAAGAGGUAACAAAAAGCAUAGUCACCCACAGUCACUGAUUUGUCCCAGAACAUCUCCAGCUGGGACAAAUUAUUCUGCCAUCUCUGCUCUGCCCAGAGGACCACACACAUUGCCGUGCCUAGGGAAAGGGGCAGGGAAAUGAUGCAGGCUUUACUGUUGCCCUUGACCCCUGCAGCUAAUUCAAAGGGACAUAAAAAUCCCUCAUUUCAGACUUGUAUGACAUUGUGCAACCCUCCCUGAAGAUAGGCAGGAACACUGGUCUCCCAUGUCCCCACUUUCCCUUUGGGAAAGAUCAUCACAUCAGCCAGGCAGAGAACAGCCCCAGUUGACCCAAUGUACUUUCUCUUUAGCCUCUCAACCCUUCUUCCUUUGGUUGUUCAUGGCAACCUGAGUUUUCAGAGAAUUUCAAAGUGAUGAUGACAAGCUGUCUGUGGCUAUCUCAAUCAGCUGAAGAUGUUUAAAAUAAGGUGCUACAGUGAAUAGGGAGUUGAAAACAAAAUCCUCUGGGAUGGAUGGCACAUUGACCCAAGCCAUUCUGAUCACACACAACUUUAAGUUUCUAUUUCGUGGAUGACAUUAAAUGCUUUGAAGGUUUGGAGUCCACAUCUAUUAGCUACUCUUUCACAGUCUGUGUACAAGAUUAUAGUGAAAACAAGUCCCAUGCCCUAUUCUGCCAUACAUGUUGACUGACUAGCUUCAUUAGCAAGGAAGAACAAAACAGUCAAUGUGAUCUCUUUCUGUGAACUCCAUGAAGUCCUAGCUCUCCUUUUUGGUGUCAAACCAUCACCUUCCAUGAAAGGUUUCUGUGAGGUGAACACCAUUUCCAGAAAGUAGGAUGCGGGUACCCUGACAUUAAUGUUAACCUACUUGAAAUCUUCCUACUUAAUGGAUAGACACAGUAUUAUUUAGGAAUUAAGCUUCAAGCAACAUUCUUAAAGAACAGGUUAUAGAAUUUAUUAUUUGUUAGAAUUUAUGCAAAAGGGGGAAAUGUCUUUUAAAAAAUUAGGCAAUGUACAUGUCUUGAAUAACUUUGAUGUUAUCAAUGUGAGCCAGUUUCUAGUAUUCAUCAUGCUAACAAGCCACAAAUGUCACAAAUUAAAGAAAUAUACCUACAUUCAUUAUGCUAACCAACCAUCUGUCUGGUAUUGAUCCAGGUACGGAUAGCUGAAAUGCUCGUGGUAGCCAACUGGGGAAGAUGGCUUUUCUGAUAUAAUGCCUGCAGUCCACCUCGGGGGUGUAAAUUCUCCAUUAGGGCACCUGACAGUUUUAAGAGUCAAAGCACAAGCUAACUAGAAAUUAUAUAAUGUCACAUUGUUCCAGGAUGCAAUAUUUAAAAUCAAACUACCUGCAUCAUAGCUAGAUCUGGAAGAAUACAAUUUUAAUAAUCAGUUUUUAACAAGAAUUAUUUUCAAAGUAACUUAACUUUCCUCUUCAUUCAUUUGGCAGACAUGAAGGAAGGUAAGGUGAAAGCUCAGAGAUUUCUGCCUUAGCCCAAGGAGCAGAGCCUACAGAAGUACAUAUGUAAGGUCUUCUUGCUACUAGGGAGUGAAGUCAGAGCAAUCGUGGGUGUGUACAUGUGUGCAUGCUGUGUGUGUGUUCUCACUACUCAGAGGUAAAUAUUUUCUUUUGAGGUUUAUUGUGGUUUGUUGAUUUGUUCCCGUAUUGGUUGAGUUUAACUUCCAACCUCCACUCCACUCUACAGUAGAAGAGAUCUUCUUAGAAGAGGAUGCCUGAAAUAAGGCUAAAUUCUUGAAGUUAGAUACAGGUCCAAGAGACUCUAGCACUUAGAAUUGCAGAGGCUUCCGUUUCAACCUGCUUCAUCCUUUGAGUUUCAAAACCAGAAAAAAAGACAUUCAGCAGGACUAACAACUGUUUGUGAAUGUACUGUUGCUAAUUACUUAAUGCUAAAAUUAUUUAAAAGGCAUUGCUUGGAAAUGUUUACAGUAUGUGAUUUGAUUAACAAAACUAUUAAGUGUAUGCUUACUAUCAUCAAUAAUUUUUACUAUGUAUUUAUUUGUAUUGGGAACACAUUAUUUGUUCCCUUAGAAUUCUGACAAAUAGAAUCUUAGCUUUGAGUUUCUGAAGUUGUUCUGCUGGAGAUAAUUUGAUUGAUUUUUAUUACUCCUGGAGGCAAAACUUAAUGAGUGAAGACAACCUGAGAAUCAUUCUCACCAUCAGAGUUGUUUAACAAUGGAAUGUAAUUUUUUGAAACUCAUAAUUAUCUCUUUUUCCUGUAUUUCCAGUUGCUUUAUGCUCUUGCAUUACUUUUCUUUCUCGUCCACUGACAGUUCUCCACCUCCAUUUCCAAACUUAAAUUCAUAAACAUAAGCCCAUGCAACCUUCUCCAGUUAUCAUCCCCAAUAUAUAUACAUCUUGAUUUCUUCUGAAUUAAGAUUCUAAAGGAAAUCUUCAUAAUAAAUGAAGUGUGUAGCAGAAGAGGAGGGAGAGAAUAAAGUACAGGGAUACAAUAAGAGACCCAGUAUGAAAUCUAAUUGGUCUGUAAACUGAAGAAAGUCAUUUUUCAGGGUCCAGUUGGGGCCUCAAUGCCUCCUUAAUUCUGUUUCCUAAUUUAACCACCAAGACCAUCAUUACUAACUCUGAACUACUUUGCCCUCUGCAAAUCCUGUUUCUGAACUGUGAAUACCAUAGAAUUACCCCUUUUCUCUCCCUUGAAGAUCACUAUUGCUGGACCCCUGGAGUACCUUGUCAUGCUUAUUUCCUGAGACAAGUACCAGAGCAGAUGUUGACUGGGAAAGUUAUUUUGCCUACUGCCAUUUACCCUUAGUAGCAGAUGCCACCCUGCCCAAAAUCUGUCUACUCACCAAGUCUCUUCCUGUUUUGAAGACUACCUUCUCUUUUAGGCUGUCUCUUUUUUCCACUACUGGUGAUUUCCAAUGCAGCUCACUCAAGAAUUAGAGGCAAUCGACAUCACCUAAACCAAGUUAAUUAAGCCCAGCUUGAGCCAGGGUGGUAACUGUCAAUUUCCCCAGGUUCUCUUUAGGUAACUCAGCUUUUAGCAAUUUUCAAGGAAGUAGUUUACCAAACUCUUAUUUCUGUAAUGUUGAGAUAGUAAAAUAUUUGGUAAUGUGUUAAGAGAGACAUAUUCUCUUCCCCUAAAGGAAGAAGGAAAUUUCAUUAUUUCAUUGGAAGAUGCCUUUCAAUGUGACAUAAUUAAACGAUUAAAAGGCACACCUUGGUCUAGAUAGGAAGCCUUAGGUGCAGGUAGCAUGAAAUGAAUGCUAAAAAUCUAAAAUACGUAUUCAAAAACUGUGUUCUAAGAAAUAUUUAGAAUGUGUGACCCCUGAGCCUGUGCAAAAUGAGUUGUAGAAAAAUUGGAAAGUCAAAGAAAGAGAUCUUUUUAGGGGGUCUAAGCUAUGAACCUUAGUUCCCAUGAUGCAUGUCAGAAGUACUCCUAGGAAAAUAGACACAGAGAGUAAAGAGUAGGGCAAACUCCGCCUAAUCAGACCUUUUCAAACUUAUUUUCUGAAAGGAAAGCUAGAACAACUCUUGCUGUGUGGGGAAUUUCUAGUCAUCCCCCUUACUGUGAAAGUUAUAGAGAAAAGAAACAAAACUCUGGGACUCCCUACAGCAAUGGCCCACUAAUAGGAUUAAGAACAUUUGGAGAAUAAACAGCAUAUAAAGCCUUGAAGAAGUUGGUUCAACAUACACAUCUACCACCAUGGUGCCACCCAACCAGCAGUCUCCAGCAACAAAGACAUCGCAGAAGAAUUCACAUGUCACAUCACUCCUCUUCAUUCUGCCCUCCAUUCAUCACAGUUUUUAUGAAGCACUGUGUGAUAUAAGUUAAAGUUUGUUUCCAUCAUUGAUACACUCCUAUACAUCAAAAUGUGUUUUCUGAUUUCUUACUGUUUUGGGCA